AUGGAGAUGAAACCCAAAAGAUUUUCGUUGGGGCGUAACCCUCUCAGCGACGCGCCACAUCGGAACCCGGGUGUGGUGGAAAAUGGGCAAGGGCCAGGCCGUCACCCCCCAGGUGGCGCGCCGUAUCUUGAUCCGGAUACGGUGGCAAGUGAGCGAGGAUCGGGUCGUCGCAUCCUUAGUGGCGCGCUACAUCGGCGCCCGGAUGUAGUGGAAAAUGAGCAAGGGUCUUCGCAUUUGACUCGACGAGUGCGAAGGGUAAGGAAGCUAGCCGAGCCUAGGAGGAUUCGCUUAGGUAGCUGGAACGUAGGGUCUCUGACAGGGAAGCUUCGGGAGCUAGUUGAUGCAGCGGUGAGGAGAGGUGUUGAUAUCCUUUGCGUCCAAGAAACCAAAUGGAGAGGACAGAAGGCGAAGGAGGUGGAGGAUACCGGCUUCAAGCUAUGGUACACGGGGACGGCUGCAAACAGAAAUGGCGUAGGCAUCUUGAUCAACAAGAGCCUCAAGUAUGGAGUGGUAGACGUCAAGAGACGUGGGGAUCGGAUUAUCCUGGUCAAGCUGGUAGUUGAGGACUUGGUUCUCAAUGUUAUCAGCGCGUAUGCCCCGCAAGUAGGCCACAAUGAGAACACCAAGAGGGAGUUCUGGGAAGGCCUGGAAGACAUGGUUAGGAGUGUACCGAUUGGUGAGAAGCUCUUCAUAGGAGGAGACCUCAAUGGCCACGUGGGUACAUCUAACACAGAUUUUGAAGGGGCGCAUGGGGGCUUUGGCUAUGGCAUCAGGAAUCAAGAAGGAGACGAUGUCUUAAGCUUUGCUCUAGCCUACAACAUGAUUGUAGCCAACACCCUCUUUAGAAAGAGAGAAUCACAUCUGGUGACUUUUAGUAGUGGCCAACACUCUAGCCAGAUUGAUUUCAUCCUCUCGAGAAGGGAACAUAGGCGUGCGUGCCUAGACUGUAAGGUGAUACCUGGAGAGAGUGUUGUACCCCAGCAUAAGCUGGUGGUUGCUGACUUCCGCUUUCGGAUUCGUGUCCAGCGGGAUAAGCGAGCUAAAGUCGCUAGAACGAAGUGGUGGAAGCUCAAGGGGGAGGUAGCUCAGGCGUUCAAGGAGAGGGUCAUUAAGGAGGGCCCUUGGGAGGAAGGAGGGGAUGCGGACAAUGUGUGGAUGAAGAUGGCGACUUGCAUUCGUAAGGUGGCCUCAGAGGAGUUUGGAGUGUCCAGGGGAAGGAGAAGCGAAGAUAAGGAUACCUGGUGGUGGAAUGAUGAUGUCCAGAAGGCGAUUAAAGAGAAGAAAGAUUGCUUUAGACGCCUAUACCUGGAUAGGAGUGCACACAACAUAGAGAAGUACAAGAUGGCGAAGAAGGCCGCAAAGCGAGCUGUUGGUGAAGCAAGGGGUCGGGCGUAUGAGGACCUCUACCAACGGUUAGGCACGAAGGAAGGCGAAAGGGACAUCUAUAAGAUGGCCAAGAUCCGAGAGAGGAAGACGAGGGAUAUUGGCCAAGUCAAAUGCAUCAAGGACGGAGCAGGCCAACUCUUGGUGAAGGACGAGGAGAUUAAGCAUAGAUGGCGGGAGUACUUCGACAAGCUGUUCAAUGGGGAGAAUGAAAGCUCUACCAUUGAACUGGACGACUCUUUUGAUGAGACCAACAUGCGUUUUGUGCGUCGAAUCCAGGAGUCUGAGGUCAAGGAGGCUUUAAAAAGAAUGAAGGGAGGCAAGGCGAUGGGCCCGGAUUGUAUCCCCAUUCAGGUGUGGAAAGGUCUCGGGGACAUAGCGAUAGUAUGGCUAACCAGGCUUUUCAAUCUCAUUUUUCGGGCAAACAAGAUGCCAGAAGAAUGGAGACGGAGUAUAUUAGUACCAAUCUCCAAGAACAAGGGGGAUGUUCAGAGUUGUACUAAUUACCGUGGAAUUAAGCUGAUGAGCCAUACAAUGAAGCUAUGGGAGAGAGUCAUUGAGCACCGCUUAAGAAGAAUGACAAGCGUGACCAAAAACCAGUUUGGUUUCAUGCCUGGGAGGUCGACCAUGGAAGCCAUUUUCUUGGUACGACAGCUUAUGGAGAGAUAUAGGGAGCAAAAGAAG
rnacentral:rRNA from 1 species